CAAAAACAAAGCUAGCUUCAUAUCCGCAGCUCCCAGGACCCAGAAAGGCAUAUUGUGCUGGGGAAAUGGGGUGUGCAACCUUUGAGCCUUGUAUAAAUAAUCAACCCUUCCUUUAGAGAUUCUAAAAUGUCUUGUCCUCCUAAGAGAUUCCAGGGAGCAAGAAAUGAAUAAACUCACUCCGCACCGUUCUUCUGUUUCUCCUAACUUAAAUUUUUAAAAAGACCUUAAGCAGAAACAAAAUUAUUUCUUUACCAUAUUCCUCAAUUCUGCAUCAUAUUCUGAUUCAGCUUGCACCUACUUUAACUUCCCCCCCCUUUUUUUUCUCAAACCCAGAAGAAUUUCUCCCCUCUCUUGAUGGAAAAGUCUCCAGUAAAAGGGUUGUGGUUGUGUCCUAGUUUUAAAAAGUGCUGAAGAGGCAGGUCCUAAAGCAACAUAGAGAAAACUAUUACUUUGGGGGGCUGGGUGGUGGGGAGGGACUCAACCCAACAAAAGAUACCUGAGUGGAACUUCUAGAGCAAUUCAAGCCUUAACAUUCCAAAUAUCUAAACAAUGGCCUCUAUUUAUGCACAGUUCAAAAGACCUUGUGGCAUCAGAAGGCACCUUCCGAAUAAGAUUGCAGCUAAUUCUCUCAGCAGCAGAAAUCCACCCCCAUGAAUAACAAAGCUUCGCUCUGUUAUUCAUAGUAAGGAUUAAACCCAGUGGGAUAAAAUGCACAGCUGCCAGGUCACCUUCGUGUAAGGCACUGAGCGUGGAAAACCGACUUCUCAUUUCUCCCCCACUAAAGCCUGAUGGUUGGUACAGGAACCAGUUCCUUGAAAAGGCACCUGUCGCAAUAUCGCUGUUAAGGGAGAAAUUCGUCAACAAGGAAGAUGCUUCCAGAGGCAGAGCUGAAGGAGAGCUGGCUUCCCUCCGUCUGGCUCCACUAAGCCCAUAUCUGACAGUGAUGGCAAGGAGAAGACAAGAAAACAAUCAAAAGCAGAAGGAGAACUACUUACUUAGUGCAGGAGCAAAAGGCUCUUUUGCCAAACAUCUGCAAGUCCUAUUCUGUGAUUCCUUUGGGUCUCUGUUCAAAUAUAACUUCAUCGAAGUCCUUCUCCCGUGUUUUUCCCCAUGCCUGUUCUCUGUCCCUUGACUCUACUUUUUUUUUUUUAAAUCUC
rnacentral:lncRNA from 1 species